GAUUCCAUUGACUAAUUCAAACUUGCUGCUUCUGACUUAAAAGAAUGUGUGGUUUAUUUAUCUCAGAAAUUGUCAAGAAACAGCCUCUGGAAUUUGGAAAUAUAAGAUAGUUUUCUUAAACAUUACUUUAAAAAGAUAUGUAUAUAUGUUUCACCUCUAGAAUGUACUUUCUAUUUUUAUAUAAGAAUAGUUCAUCAGUGCUUGGCAGCAUCAGUGUAUGUAACCCGAAGGGCAGUCUUAGAAUGGGAUGGUGACCAGACAGCAACUGACCCAAGUGGUUCUCUAGGGGCCAAAUAUUUAAAACUCAAAGAUUGCUGGGAUGGCAUAUAGUUGAACAAUGGCACAGAAUAUUUUAAGUAGCAACAUAAAACCUACUGUUCCAGAAAAGCUUCCUGGCUUUCAUUUUCCUAUUAGAGAUAUUUCCAGAUAUAUCAAAACAUCUGCAAAGUUAACUUGAUUCUUCUAGGCAUUAUCUCCCUUUAAGUGCAGGACUCUAUUAUCCUGAGACUACACAUUCUUUACAAAAGGCAUGAAUCUGAUUUCUGGAAAUGAGAACAAAAUACCAUUGUAAUGAAUAAUUUCUAUUUACACUUUAUUAUUGGUGGCAAAUGAUUAAGCAUUUCAACUUGCUAUGCUGAGGAUAUGUUUAUUCCUUUAACAUACUGUGUAAACCAUGUACUAGGUUUGUAGGGUACGCUGAAGAUUCUGAGAAGAGUAAGACACAGCUUCUAACCUUAAGCAGGUCUUGUUCUAGUUGGAGAUGCAGGUGGUGUUGUGGGUUAAGUGUUUUUCCCCAUCCAAAAUUCAUGUUGUAACUUGAUCUUCAAUGCAACAGUAUUAAGAGUUGAGACCUUUAGGAGGUCCCUGAGUCAUGAGGGCUCUGCCCUCCUUCAUGGAAUUUGGUUCUCUUUUAAAAGGGCUUGACAGAGGAAAUUUGCCCUUUUCCCUCCUUUAGUCCCUUCCCUGAUAUGAGAACACAGCACUCCUCCCCUUUGGAGUACAUGACAGUGAAGUGCCAUCUUGGAGGCAAACAGCAGCCCUCACUAGACAGCAAUCCUGCCAGAGCCAUGAUCUUGGACUUCUUAGCCUCCAUAACUAUUUUUUUAAAAAAGUAUCUGUUCUUUCCAAUUACCCAGUCUGUGGUAUUUUGCUACAAGAUAGUUUAAUCUAGUUUUAUGCAACUGAGCAUUAAAUUUAGCUCUAUUUUUACUGAUAGUCAAAGGGAAAAAGAAAGAAGAUGAGGGAGAACAGGAUGAGUUCACAUGCUUUUAUCAACAUAAAAAGAAAACGAGCAAUUUAGAAACGUCUUUAUUCUUCUAGGACAAAAUUCUAAGAGGGAGUAUAGUGUAAGGAUAUUUCUGUAAAGAGGAUUAGGUAAUUAAUAAUAGUACAAAGGAUGAAGAUACAUAAAUACAGCUUGUGGGUGUUGGGGAGGGUAUGAAUUCUGAAUAAAAGCUGAAGGCAAAUUGUUAAAGUUUUUGAAAGGUCUUUCUAUAGUGAGCCAAUAAAGUGACAAUAACUCCCACUAUUAUAUGUUGAUGCCGUAUUAGGGCUUUACAUAUUUUUUCCCUAACAAUGUUGGGAGGUACAUAUUACUGUUCUUCUAGAAGUUUCCUAGGGGAACUGUGAGAGAUUGAGGAUCUUGGUCAUGUAAAGCUAAGACAUGAAUCUGGAUCUUCAUGGUCUAAAGUCACAUUCUUUCCAUUCUACUCAUCCAGACAUGUAGAUUUCUAUUGAUUUGGUAUGGAGAUAGAGUAAAACAAUGUGGAAAAUGCUAGUUAUCAUGUUCCCGUAUCUCCAGAAACCACUGUCCAAGUCCAACUUUUGACACAAUCAAGAGAGCAAAACACUUGAGUUUGAGUUAACUGAAAAAUGCUUGCAAUAUUAGUAUUUUCCAAAACAAACUUCAGAUGUUUUAUAUACCAUAUCAUUAAGAGGAAAAACUGGUUUUCUUUCAAAUGAAAAUUAGAGCCAGAUACAGACUUCCCAAGUUGACGAGUAAAUUAUAUCCUUGCACAAAAGUAGACUGGGGCUGAUGAGGAUUAGGGCCAAAAUUUUUCACAAUAAAGCUUGAAAGCAGCAUCUAUCAUUAAGGACUCCUGCUUGAAAGUGAUAGAAACUCAAUUUGAACCCAUAUUGAGAAAGAGGAAUUUGUUAUCUCCCAAAAUCUAAAGAAGCAGUGAAUAUCCAAACCAUGUGAAAGAAAGCACUGAGUUGGGUCUCAGGAACUGAAUGUGUCAGGAACUUGAAUGAUGCCAGGUUUCUCUUUCAUUUACUUUCUCUCUCUCACUUACAUUCUUUCUCUCUCUCUUCCCCGCCUCCCCUCUGUGCCAACUUUGUCUCACACUGAGUCAGUCUUUCUCUUCAUGGCAGGAAAUAUGAUCACUGACAGUUCCUAAGUUUUACAUCUCAAUUCCAUCACAGGACAAGAUUGCCUAACACACACCACACCAACUCCCCAACAAACAACAAAAACAACCCAAGGAAUGCCCGUGAUUUGAAUGGCUUGGUUUGGUUACCCAUCCUUAGAGUCCUCAACAUUUCUAGGAGGCAGAGUUGCAGUGGAAGGAGGAGUAGUUUCCAGAAGAAUGAGUUGCUUUUUUUUCAGAAGGAGGCAGGGGUGGUUAGUAGACAAAUAAUAAAUAUUCUUCCCAAGAUUGUCUUGUCUCAGUGGCUUUUAAAAGUGCAGACUAACAACUGUCAGAUUCUUCUAUACAAUAGAAUAUGUUUUGUUUAAUUGAUGGAUUAAACUUUAUUUAUCAAUACUUUAUCUUAUUUCAAAAGAGAUUUAAGAUCUUGGGCAACAUAAAAUAUAGCAAUAAGCUACAAAUAAAAUAUGCCAAUAAAUCAUAAACUACAAAUUCUAUGAGAAUAAAUAAGGAAAAACAAACAUGGGGGCAAAAACUAGAAGUGGAAAUGAGUUAAAUGAAAGAUGCAAUCAUACUGUCGUUUUGAGCCAUAAAUUUUUCUCUGUGACAGUGAAUCAGAAAAGGGAAAUCUGAUUGGUGACCCAAUUCAUAAUAUCCGUAAAAUAAAAACAAAUCCAUUUCUCAAGAUAAGCCUGCCUUAUCUUCCUCACAUUAGCACCAGAAAAGAAAUGUUGAGGUAGUUUAUAGAGAGUGAGAUAUGUAAUAACAUGAGUUCCAUAGGAGGCUGCAAAGAGAAAUUAUCAGUGCAAGUCCAGAGCAUCACACCAAAUAGAAUUCAGGAACAACAAUUCACUAGGGGGCCAAAAAAUAUCUUCUGGAGUUACAUGUUUCAGCUUUUAAGAGAUUUAAUUCAAUGAAAGAUUUUAUUCAUGUAUUCAAUCAACAAUUUUUGUGGGGUACCUACUACUUGACAAAGUAGAAAAAAGAUGAAAUAAUAGGUAAAAUGUGUAUUUUCCCAAAGGCAUCCAUAGACAUUGUUUCCCACGGUUGAGUUUUUAACAGAUACUUGAGUGACAAGGAAUUCAACAGUAUAUUCUCUAGGAAGUAGCUAGGAAUUCUUCUAUGUUACCAAUUAAGCACACAAUUAUAUAGCUUCCUGC
rnacentral:lncRNA from 10 species